CCUACGGGUGGCAGCAGUCGAGAAUCAUUCACAAUGGGGGAAACCCUGAUGGUGCGACGCCGCGUGGGGGAAUGAAGGUCUUCGGAUUGUAAACCCCUGUCAUGUGGGCGCAAAUUAAAAAGAUAGUACCACAAGAGGAAGAGACGGCUAACUCUGUGCCAGCAGCCGCGGUAAUACAGAGGUCUCAAGCGUUGUUCGGAAUCACUGGGCGUAAAGCGUGCGUAGGCUGUUUCGUAAGUCGUGUGUGAAAGGCGCGGGCUCAACCCGCGGACGGCACAUGAUACUGCGAGACUAGAGUAGUGGAGGGGGAACCGGAAGUCUCGGUGUAGCAGUGAAAUGCGUAGAUAUCGAGAGGAACACUCGUGGCGAAGGCGGGUUCCUGGACAUUAACUGACGCUGAGGCACGAAGGCCAGGGGAGCGAAAGGGAUUAGAUACCCCUGUAGUC
rnacentral:rRNA from 1 species